rnacentral:lncRNA from 13 species
AUAAAGAAACUAUGAUUCAGCCAUUUCCCAGAUGCUGGACAGCAAAGGUGCCUGAUCAGUGGGUGCUGACUGAACCUGACUCAAUGAAGCAAUGGCUCCCAUAGGCCAUAAUGGAAUUCCUUUCUCCACCAUUAACAGCUCACAUCAUUCAGGGCCUGAGAGUGAGUUUGGAGACCUGACAUUUGGAGAGCUGCUUGGACAAACCGAAAGAAAGCCUGGCCCAGAAAAAAAACUCGAACAUCAUCUGGGCUUACAUUUUCAUCUUGCAACUGAGAAAAGGGAGACUGAGGAGAUGGGCAAACUGAAAAUUGGACAGAUUCAGUUCCUCAGAAAAGGUUUAUGGACAGCAGUUAAGAGUAGUCUCUGGAGCUGAAAUAUUCACACUUGAAAUCCGAAGGGCUUGUAAAAUACAAUUCAGCACCAUGGACAGCAGAAAAAUCCCAUUGACAGAAUAAAUCUGAAGUUUUCCUUUCCGUAUUCA